rnacentral:lncRNA from 13 species
CAGUAUUGAACCUGUUGCUGCAUUAGCCGAGUUGUAUUUUGCUAGAUAGGAGAAGGAGGGUUGUCUGCUGUCUGGUAGGAGGGCUUUGUCUGUGUGCGCCUUUCUCUCUCUCCCUCUCUCGCUCUCCCUGUCUCUCGCACUCUCGCUCGCUCUCGCUCGCUCUCUCUCGCUCGCUCUCCCUUUCCCGUCUCUGUGGUUUGUAAGGGAGACAGCGACUAUGAGGAGACAAACUGAGGACUGGGGAACAAGCAGCAUAAGAAAGAAGUGUUGAGAGCUGCUCUUAACCCUUUUGGAGGCCGAAGUCUAAAGGUAAAAGCAAACGCUCAUGUUUGUGUUUCUGAAGGUUUUGAUAUCAUAAUUGUUUGGAAAUGCUGUUUCCUUAUCACAUCUGAACUGAGAUUUCCUGCAGGAGAAAAGGAGGGAUAUGGUAAGAGGAAUCAAAACAUUAUUAGACCUCUUUAAGAGCCACCAGCAUAUCUAGGCAUAAAUUACACAGGUAAGUUACAACUGGUAAACUGCAAUUAUCUAUUUUACUUAAUAUGAAAACAUUGGCGUUGAGAGUCAGUGGGACUUUCAGUAGAAUUUAAUAUUGCUAAGGAUUUAAUGAUUUUUGUCUCACUAUAACUUGAUAGUUUUUAUGAUAGAUAAAGUUUUUUCAAAUUACAGUAAAACAAAUCCUGUAGCUCUUUUCUCAGGCAAGAGUCCCUCAAUGGGAGUUUUGCCUGAGUGAGAACUGAAUGAGGUCUAAAUAAUUAGCAAUUAAAAUAUUCAGUUAUUGUGCUACUGUAUAUAACAAAGCACUGGUGGUAUUAAAAAUUGCUAAUCUCCUCCUUAUUAAAAUGUUAACUGCUAAACAUAAUACAGUUUUGCAUUUUCUAUCAUUCAGUUUUGCAGUUCAUUAGUAGAGGUGAAACGUUUGUGACAAAUAGUCAUUUGAACUUUUAAGGGAUUGACUUUGUUUUCCUGGCAUUUUAGUUAAUAUUUCCAACUGAGUUAAUUUACAAGCAAAAGUUUUUGUGUAAGCCAUGGAUUUUAGGAAAAAAACUUGAUCAUGAGUAACUUCUCAUACGCCAUUCAUGAGUAUUUGCAGAAGGAAGCUGUUGGUAGGCUACUCCUCAGGAGGCAGGGCUGGGCAGUUUAGGUAUCCCAGUUUAUAUACAUU